rnacentral:rRNA from 2 species
UGGGGAAUCUUGCGCAAUGGGCGGAAGCCUGACGCAGCGACGCCGCGUGCGGGAGGAAGGCCCUCGGGUCGUAAACCGCUUUCAGCAGGGACGAGGCCGCAAGGUGACGGUACCUGCAGAAGAAGCCCCGGCUAACUACGUGCCAGCAGCCGCGGGAAUACGUAGGGGGCGAGCGUUAUCCGGAUUCAUUGGGCGUAAAGCGCUCGUAGGCGGCCUGCUAGGUCGGGAGUCAAAUGCGGGGGCCCAACCCCCGGCCGCUCCCGAUACCGGCGGGCUUGAGUUUGGUAGGGGAAGGCGGAAUUCCCGGUGUAGCGGUGGAAUGCGCAGAUAUCGGGAAGAACACCGGUGGCGAAGGCGGCCUUCUGGGCCACAACUGACGCUGAGGAGCGAAAGCUGGGGGAGCGAACAGG